rnacentral:ribozyme from 1 species
UGCCCAGCAACUCCUAUCCCUACCUCCUCGCGGCACUGACCGGGGUACGAGUAACCUUAGGGAAGAUCGGGUAGACAAUCCCGGUGGGAACUCUGGUCGUAUGCUGACAGGGAAGG